ACCCACCAAAAAGCCUCAGGAAAAUAUGACUGAAAGACGAUGCAGAGGCGCGAAACAACGAAUUUUGAAACCAAGUCUGUAACACAAGUACGCAACACUCACGGAGCAUCUGAUUGGCUGCUGCCUGUCACGUGCACGGAAGUUGACCGAGGCGGCGAAGCGGUCGCUAUGGCCGGGGAAUCGAGGUCGGGUCUGUUGGCGGUGGGUGCGGGCUCUCCCUCCUCUGGCGGCCUGACGCCGGCAUUGCCCCAUGCCUCUACUCCCACUGUCGGUGAGGCGACACUUGGCCGAUCCCUCAAAAGGACACCUGUUGGACCAUCCAAAAAAUUAAAUGCAAGCUUUAAGUCACCACUACAGUCUCUUUCAACCCACCGGAGUACAGAGCUCAAUGCUACUGAUCUUCAGACUGAACUUGCAAAUCUGAAGAAGAAAUCUGAAGAGCUGGACCGGCAGAUUGCUGAACUAAUCUCAGAAGGAUAUACUCUCGAAGAACUUGACCAGCACAUUGACCAGCUCCAUGAGUACAAUGACAUCAAAGACGUAGGUCAGAUUCUGUUGGGAAAACUGGAUGCCAUUUCAGUUUAGAAUAUACCAAGGUGGAAUUGUAUUUAAAUCUCUCCUGACACUAUCGCAUAUCACAGGAAAAUGCCCUUCUUGCCCACCUUGUUCAUGCCAACCCUGAUGACCAUCUAGGCUAGUCCCAUCUGCUUCUGCUUUAGUCAGAGGGGUCACCAUCAAGGAUCUGUAUGGUGAAUUCGGCCUGGAGUUGGAUGACUAGACUGCAUCAAGACAGAAGCUGGAGGGGAGGUGCCUUUCCCUCUCACUGUUUGGGUCAUUGUGUCACUCCAAUCAGCACAAAUGUUGGGGAGCAGGGAGAAGAACUAGGCCCAAAAGCCUUUAGAAUACUGGUGGGCGGAUUUGGAUCUUGAUGGAAUGAUCCAAAACACUCGGAUUUAAAUGAAAUUGAUCCAGUGGCAUGGAUUUUGUUGAACAGUUGACAUGGCAGGCACAAAUUGCUGGAGAAACUCAGCAGUUCAUGCAGCAUCUAUAGAGAGGAAUAAACGACCCUUCUUCAGAACCUCUCGGCCCAAAAUGCUGACUCUUUAUUCCGCUCCAUUGAUGCUGCCAGACCUGCUAAUUCCCUCCAGCAUUUUGUGUGUGUUACUUUGGAUUUCCAGCAUGUGUGGAAUCUCUUUUAGUUUGUAUCAUGGCAGCCACUACGAUUAUGCUUAAAUGUUCACCUGUAACCCCCUGAGCCCCUUGCUUACAGGGAGUGUUUGCUGUUGUGUUAUCAGGAGAACUCACCAUUGUCGAGCUCCUCUACCCAGUCUGUCCAUUCUGAGCAGAAUGGAUUAGAUGGUGAAUAACAUUAUUUAGAAAUAACUUCUGCUUUCAGACGUCAGUUCAUUUAUAUUCCUUUGCUCCAGACACAAGUUUUAAUGUCAGUUUAGCAAUGGAAUUAACCCUUAGAUUUCCAAGCAUAUUUUGCCCUGUCGUUGGGGAGUUUUUUGUACGGACAGUGCACGUUGAUGGUUAUUCCCUCAUUGAGGCAUCACUCCUGAGUUCAGCCCUGUUCUGACUAGAUUUCCUCACAUGUCAUUGCAAUAGUGAGGGGUAGCUAGGUGGUGAUUGGGUUAGGAGAUCUAUCAAACUGCUUGUAAACCCAUUGCUGGGUGUAAACUACUCAAAGGUUAAUCGUUGUGCAGUAAACUCUGAACAGAGUACAUAUGUCAGAAUUAAACCUGCACUUGCCCCUCAAUGUUGACAGGAUAUCAAGUAAGAAAAUUGUCCUAAUUUUUGAGCCAAUGCUUGUACAUUGAACAUAGUGGUGCAAAAUUGAUUAAUAAAAGUGUAUUCAUUUUUUAAAAA